AACAAACGCUGGCGGCGUGCCUAAUACAUGCAAGUCGAACGGGGUAGCAAUACCUAGUGGCGCACGGGUGAGUAACGCGUGGAUAAUCUGCCUUAGAGUGGGGGAUAACUAGUCGAAAGAUUAGCUAAUACCGCAUAAGACUACAAGAACUGCGGUUCAAGGGGUCAAAGGUUUUUCGCUCUAAGAUGAGUCCGCGUAAGAUUAGCUAGUUGGUGAGGUAGUGGCUCACCAAGGCGACGAUCUUUAACUGGUCUGAGAGGAUGAUCAGUCACACUGGAACUGAGACACGGUCCAGACUCCUACGGGAGGCAGCAGUAGGGAAUAUUGCACAAUGGAGGAAACUCUGAUGCAGCGACGCCGCGUGAGUGAUGAAGGCCUUCGGGUCGUAAAGCUCUGUCGCAGGGGAAUAACACAAUGAAUGUACCCUGUAAGAAAGGAUCGGCUAACUUCGUGCCAGCAGCCGCCGCCGUAA
rnacentral:rRNA from 1 species